rnacentral:rRNA from 1 species
GAUGAACGCUGGCGGCGUGCCUAAUACAUGCAAGUCGAGCGACCAGACGGGGAGCUUGCUCCUCUGACGUUAGCGGCGGACGGGUGAGUAACACGUGGAUAACCUACCUAUAAGACUGGGAUAACUUCGGGAAACCGGAGCUAAUACCAGAUAAUAUAUUGAACCGCAUGGUUCAAUAGUGAAAGACGGUUUUGCUGUCACUUAUAGAUGGAUCCGCGCCGCAUUAGCUAGGUGGUAAGGUAACGGCUUACCAAGGCAACGAUGCGUAGCCGACCUGAGGGGGUCGUCGGGCACACUGGAUCUGAGACACGGUCCAGACUCCUACGGGAGGCAGCAGUAGGGAAUCUUCCGCGAUGGGCGAAAGCUUGACGGAGCAACGCCGCGUGAGUGAUGAAGGUCUUCGGAUCGUAAAACUCUGUUAUUAGUGAAGAACAAAUGUGUAAGUAACUAUGCACGUCUUGACGGUACCUAAUCAGAAAGCCACGGCUAACUACGUG